AUUGAACGCUGGCGGCAUGCCUUACACAUGCAAGUCGAACGGCAGCACGGGUGCUUGCACCUGGUGGCGAGUGGCGAACGGGUGAGUAAUACAUCGGAACGUACCUUAUCGUGGGGGAUAACGCAGCGAAAGUUGCGCUAAUACCGCAUACGCCCUGAGGGGGAAAGCGGGGGACCGUAAGGCCUCGCGCGAUUAGAGCGGCCGAUGUCUGAUUAGCUUGUUGGUGAGGUAAAAGCUCACCAAGGCGAUGAUCAGUAGCUGGUCUGCGAGGAAGAGCAGCCAACCUGGGACUGAGGCACGGCCCAGACUCCUACGGGAGGCAGCAGUGGGGAAUUUUGGACAAUGGGGGCAACACUGAUCAAGCAAUGCCGCGUGAGUGAAGAAGGCCUUCGGGUUGUAAAGCUCUUUUGUCAGGGAAGAAACAGCAGCUCUAACACAGUCUGCGAAUGACGGUACCUGAAGAAUAAGCACCGGCUAACUACGUGCCAGCCGCCGCCGUAA
rnacentral:rRNA from 1 species